AAUGCUCAACUAACUGAGCCAUCCAGGCGCCCUAAAAUGGGAGAAAAAAAAAAAAGGAACAAUUUUCAUAAAAUCAAGUAAGCCAUGGUAACUUGAAAAACGUCGGGAAUCACCGGUUUACAAGUUAUGCGUGAACGGAAGAAUAACCAUCACAGCCCCAGCUGGCCGCUUCAUGCCAAUGGCAGCAAAUAAGGUCAACUCGAGAAAGAUCAAUUAAGUGUUUGGAAGUCCUGGUGCAAAGUGGACAGGUGUGCAAAGUGGACGGGUGCAAAGGUUUUCUUCCUGCUGGAUUCUAAGGUGGGAUGUGGGCCUAGUGGAUCGCUUACGGAACGUUCCAUUGCUGUUUAUGAAAGCAGGUUAAGCUGAUGGUUAGAGACGAGGGUGGAAGGAGCGUUUUUCCUCACAUACCUGCUUAAGACAGAACCUUCGCCUCAGUUCAGUCCGCUCCCUCAGUCCCAGGAAGUCGAUGUCUGUUUUGCCAAUCUCAGGUUGAUCAUCGACCUUCACCGAGUCACCCGUUUCCAUGCUGGAAGGUCCUGGAAGUCCUGACCAAGCCUGGUGGCCCGGACCGGACGGAUGUCCGUGGCUGCACUGGCGGGGAGCACUCGUGAGUGGGCUCAUUGCGGUGUCGCUGGUCGGGAGCCCCUGCUCCGGGGUUAUUGCAUCUCGUUUUGAGGUUAUUUCCAGAAGUUUCAAUUUCAUGCCUGAGUUUAUAGCAGAGGCUGUUAGGUGCGUGGAAGAUAAAAACAGACGCCAUCCGUUGAUGGCAAGACUGAGUGACUUUGGCUCCUUUGUUGUAACGUCCAGCAGGGCCAGCAUGGAACCAAGGAGCAGGCUCGUCACUUUACAAGGGUGUGGUCAGCGACGUCCCCGGGUAGUGAGGGCUUUUGUCCCAGGGCACAUUGAUUUCUCACCAGUGGACAAGGGCAUUUCAGGAUGAGAAAGAAGAGACUUUUCCUUUCUAUUUAUUUAUUUAUUUUUAAAAGUUUAUUUAUUUUGAGAGAGAGCGUGUGAUCACGUGGAUGGGGCAGGGGGCAGAGGGAGGGAGAGAGAGAGACUCCCACGCGGGCUCUGUACCGCCGCCACAGAGCCCGACGUGGGGCUCGAACUCACGAACUGUGAGAUCAUGACCUGAGCCGAAGUCAAGAGUCAGUUGCUUCACCGACGAAGCCACCCAGACGCCCCUAUAUGCGGCAAUUUUGUAUUUGCAGAGCAUGGCGAUGCUUACCGUUUUGUUUUGUUUUGUUUUGGCCUUUAGAGUUGUGCUUAGCAAACCAAAAGGCCAGGGAAACCUCCCUGAGGCUCUGAAGGGUUUGACACCGAGUGUGUGUGAGUGUGGCUGUGAACACGUAUGUGAGAGUGUGCGUGUGUGGUGUGUGUGUGUGCGUGUGUGGGUGGGGGUGUGUGUGAGUGUGUAGAUCCAGGGUGCGUCUCUGAGGUAGUUUCCGCCCGCCCCAGGGGCUCAAGGAAGGGGUGUGUGUGCUGUUGGCCAAAAUACCAACGCUUUCCCAUUUGGACAGAGGCGCAGGGGAGGUUGCACGGGUCCCGGGACAGAACCUGCACAGAGGUGGGCCAGAGCCCGUCCUGCGCACGUGAACUGCCUGGGGAGUUGCUUACAGAGAAAUCUUCUGUUUUUCUCCUUCACCUGUUAAUUUUGAGUGACUUCAGGGUUAUUCUAUUUGUUACAUUUAAAUAUUAUUGUAAUGAGAAAUAUUGUUUUUAAACCCUUUGCAAUACAGAUUUGCCUCAACUUAAAAGAAGUUCAUUGUGGAAAGAUUCAGAAUAACAGCACAGUGGAAUAAAUGUUCAACUUUUAACAUAAGAUUUAUUGCAGA